rnacentral:rRNA from 1 species
CAGCAGCCGCGGUAAUACGGAGGGUGCAAGCGUUGUCCGGAAUUACUGGGCGUAAAGAGCUCGUAGGCGGUCUGUCGCGUCGAAUGUGAAAAUCCGAGGCUCAACCUCGGACCUGCAUUCGAUACGGGCAGACUAGAGUUCGGUAGGGGAGUCUGGAAUUCCUGGUGUAGCGGUGAAAUGCGCAGAUAUCAGGAGGAACACCGGUGGCGAAGGCGGGACUCUGGGCCGAUACUGACGCUGAGGAGCGAAAGCGUGGGGAGCAAACAGGAUUAGAUACCCGCGUAGUCCCUGUCUCUUAUAC